GGACUAUGACGAUUAUAUGAUUGGUCUCGUUCGACGUAAUGGCAGAAAUGCCUUGACGACCAUACUGAUAUAUCACCACCCAUAAACUGAGUCC